AUUAGAUACCCCACUAUGCCUAACCGUAAACUUUAAUUUACAUCAAAAUCGCCAGGGAACUACAAGCAACGCUUAAAACCCAAAGGACUUGACGGUACCCCAUUCCACCUAGAGGAGCCUGUCCUGUAAUCGAUAACCCACGUUAAACCUCACCACUCUUAACUUCAGUCUGUAUAUCGCCGUCGCCAGUUUACCACGUGAGCGAGCCAAGUAAACAAGAGGACUUUCCGCCAAAACGUCAGGUCAAGGUGCAGCAUAUAGAGUGGGAAGAGAUGGGCUACACUCUCUAACCUAGAAAACACGAAUGACUUUAUUGAAACAUUGGUCAGAAGGCGGAUUUAGCAGUAAAAUAAGACAAGAAAACUUAUUUUAACACGGCCCUGGGGUGUGUACACACCGCCCGUCACCCUCUUCGAAAUUCUUUUAAUAGUACAUAACACCCUAUCACCUUAGAGAAGAGGCAAGUCGUAACAUGGUAAGCUUACCGGAAGGUGUGCUUGGAAA
rnacentral:rRNA from 1 species